rnacentral:tRNA from 4 species
GCUGAUAUGGCUCAGUUGGUAGAGCGCACCCUUGGUAAGGGUGAGGUCCCAGUUCGACUCUGGGUAUCAGCACCA